CGUUCUUUCCGUCCCGGCCGGCGACCGGCGCGACGGUGNGAACACGUAUGCAACCUGCCCCUGUCAGGGGGACAACCCGCCGAAAGGCGGGCUAAACCCGCGUACAUGCCACCGGGGCAUCCCGGAGGCAGGAAAGGCUUCGGCCGGACAGGGAUGGGCAUGCGGCGCAUUAGGCAGUAGGCGGGGUAACGGCCCACCUAACCGACGAUGCGUAGGGGUUCUGAGAGGAAGGUCCCCCACACUGGUACUGAGACACGGACCAGACUCCUACGGGAGGCAGCAG
rnacentral:rRNA from 1 species